UACAGAGGUCUCGAGCGUUAGGCGGAAUCACUGGGCUUAAAGCGUGUGUAGGCGGAUUGCUAAGUACCUUGUGAAAUCCCACGGCUUAACCGUGGAACUGCUUGGUAUACUGGCUGUCUUGAGCCACUUAGGGGCGACCGGAACAAACGGUGGAGCGGUGAAAUGCGUAGAUAUCGUUUGGAACGCCAAAGGUGAAAACAGGUCGCUGGGAGUGUGCUGACGCUGAGACACGAAAGCCAGGGGAGCAAGCGGG
rnacentral:rRNA from 1 species